UCCGAGAUGUUCGUAGGGUAGCAGCUAGC
rnacentral:sRNA from 1 species